rnacentral:rRNA from 1 species
GAUGAACGCUGGCGGCGUGCCUAACACAUGCAAGUCGAGCGAACCCUUCGGGGUGAGCGGCGGACGGGUGAGUAACGCGUGGGUAACCUGCCCUAUACACACGGAUAACGUACAGAAAGGUACGCUGAUACGGGAUAAAGUUGUUGGAUGGCAUCUUCUAACAAUCAAAGCUACGGCGGUAUAGGAUGGACCCGCGUCUGAUUAGCUAGUUGGUGAGGUAAUGGCUCACCAAGGCGACGAUCAGUAGCCGACCUGAGAGGGUGAUCGGCCACACUGGAACUGGGACACGGUCCAGACGCCUACGGGAGGCAGCAGUGGGGAAUAUUGCACAAGGGGCGAAAGCCUGAUGCAGCAACGCCGCGUGAGCGAUGAAGGUCUUCGGAUCGUAAAGCUCUGUCCUCAAGGAAGAUAAUGACGGUACUUGAGGAGGAAGCCCCGGCUAACUACGUGCCAGCCGCCGCCGUAA